rnacentral:ncRNA from 2 species
CAUUUAUUCCGAAGAGGCGAGAGACUAGGCUCCGUGACCCUCUGGCAACCACCAGCAAUGCACAAGCUGGCAGGUGCCAAAUCCUGCCCCACUGCUCACUGCAGGAAGGGGAAAAAUAAACC